UACGUAUGGGGCAAGCGUCAUCCGGAUUUACUGGGUGUAAAGGGAGCGUAGGCGGCCUGGCAAGCCUGAUGUGAAAUACCGGGGCCCAACCCCGGGGCUGCAUUGGGAACUGCCAGGCUGGAGUGCCGGAGAGGCAGGCGGAAUUCCUAGUGUAGCGGUGAAAUGCGUAGAUAUUAGGAGGAACACCAGUGGCGAAGGCGGCCUGCUGGACGGUGACUGACGCUGAGGCUCGAAAGCGUGGGGAGCAAACAGG
rnacentral:rRNA from 1 species